UCUGCUGGCAGAGAGAAAGUGAUCGUGGCAGAGCAGAGAUGUAGCAGCGGAGAUCGCUGGGACUCCGUGGUCAGCUGUCUGUCACUUUUACCUGUGAUUAUCAGUCUGACAUUAGCGCACAAUGGGAAAGACUGGAUGUAAAUUUUUGUACAGUCGCACUGUAUGAGUGUGCCGCGCAAUGCGACUGAGAACAGCUGCUUUUGGGGGGAUAUAUUUUUGUUUCGGGACAGGUUUGUUGGAGUAGCUAGUGCUAGCACAGGGCUAACGACUGUGCUGGCUACUUGGAACGUAUUCUGCGAAGAUGCUGCGGUGGAUACGGCAGCAGCUGGGCUUUGACCCCCCUCAUCAGAGUGAAACCAGGACAGUAUAUGUGGCAAACCGUUUCCCCCAGCAUGGCCACUACGUACCACAACGCUUUGCAGACAACAGAAUCAUCUCAUCCAAGUACACAAUUUGGAAUUUUGUCCCCAAGAAUCUGUUUGAGCAGUUCAGAAGAAUAGCAAACUUCUAUUUUCUCAUUAUCUUCCUUGUUCAGUUAAUGAUAGACACACCAACUUCCCCAGUCACUAGUGGGCUCCCUCUCUUCUUUGUGAUUACAGUAACUGCUAUAAAACAGGGCUAUGAAGAUUGGCUGAGACACAAAGCAGACAAUGAGGUGAAUGGUGCUCCAGUGUUUGUGGUUCGCAGUGGAAGUCUGGUCCAGACGAGAUCCAAAAACAUCAGGGUGGGGGACAUCGUUCGUGUGGCUAAAGAUGAGACGUUUCCAGCUGAUCUGGUGUUGCUGUCGUCAGAUCGUGCAGAUGGUACUUGUCACAUCACGACAGCUAGCCUCGAUGGAGAGACCAACCUCAAGACCCACUACUCUGUGCCAGAGACAUCAGUGUGUCAGUCAGUGUCCCAGCUUGAGGCUUUGCAGGCUGUAGUGGAGUGUCAACAGCCAGAAGCUGACCUUUACAGAUUCGUAGGUCGUAUCACUGUGACUCAGAAUGGUGAAGAGAUUGUCAGACCGCUGGGUCCAGAAAAUUUGCUGCUCCGAGGGGCCAGGUUGAAAAAUACCAAAGAGAUUUUCGGUGUUGCAGUUUACACAGGGAUGGAAUCUAAGAUGGCUCUCAACUAUAAGUGCAAGUCCCAGAAACGCUCUGCAGUAGAGAAGUCAAUGAACACCUUCCUCAUCAUCUACCUGGUCAUCUUGUUGUUCGAGGCCAUCCUCAGCACCAUCCUGAAGUAUGCCUGGCAGGCUGAGGCGAAAUGGGAUGAGCCUUUCUACAACCAAAAGACUGAACAAGAGAGGAACAGCAGUCGGAUUUUAAAAUUCAUCUCGGACUUCUUAGCAUUUCUGGUCCUUUAUAACUUCAUCAUUCCCAUCUCGCUGUACGUUACCGUGGAGAUGCAGAAGUUCCUGGGCUCAUUUUUCAUUGGCUGGGAUUUGGACCUUUACCAUGAGGAAAGUGACCAGAAAGCACAGGUCAACACAUCUGACCUCAAUGAAGAGUUGGGGCAGGUAGAAUAUGUGUUUACUGACAAGACGGGUACACUAACAGAAAAUGAAAUGCAGUUCCGCGAGUGUUCAGUAAAUGGAAUCAAGUAUCGAGAAGUCAAUGGGAAACUGGUACCAGAGGGAAUGACAGAUGAUUCUCCAGAUGGUUCUACAGCUAACCUGAUGGGAGAGGAAUUGUUAUUUCUCAAGGCAGUGUCAUUGUGUCACACCGUUCAGAUCAGCUAUGAUCAGCCAGACUGCCUGAUUGGAGGAGGAGAUCCAUUCUCACAUGCCAAUGGUUUCUCAUCCAAUCACAUGGAAUACUAUGCCGCUUCACCAGAUGAGAAAGCUUUAGUUGAGGCAGCAAAGAGGAUUGGAGUGGCCUUCACUGGCAGCAAUGGUGAAACCAUGGAAAUUAAAACAUUUGGCAAGUUUGAAAAGUAUAAACUACUCCACGUGUUAGAGUUUGAUGCUGACCGCAGGAGGAUGAGCGUCAUCUUACAAACUCCCUCAGGAGGAAAAGUGCUCUUCACCAAGGGGGCUGAAUCAGCCAUCUUGCCUUUCACCACAAGUGGUGAGAUUGAAAAAACAAGACUGCAUGUUGAUGAGUUUGCCCUGAAAGGUUUGCGUACCCUGGUUGUUGCAUGUCGCCACUUCAGUCCAGAGGAUUACAUCGAUGUGGACAAGCGCCUGAUAGCAGCUCGCACUGCGCUGCAGCAAAGGGAGGAGAGACUACGGGAAGCCUUUGACUACAUUGAGAAAGACCUGCAUCUCCUUGGAGCAACCGGGGUGGAAGACAAACUUCAGGACAAAGUCCAGGAGACCAUUGAAGCUUUGAGACUGGCAGGCAUCAAAGUGUGGGUGUUGACAGGAGAUAAACAUGAGACAGCGGUCAGUGUCAGCUUGUCCUGUGGCCACUUCCAUAGAACCAUGAACAUCUUGGAGCUUUUGCAACAGCGCUCUGAUAAUGAGUGUGCUGAACAGCUCCGCAGACUGGCCAGAAGGAUAAAAGAAGACCACGUCAUUCAGCAUGGGUUGGUUGUAGAUGGGGCCAGUUUGUCUUUAGCAUUGAGAGAACAUGAGAAGCUCUUUAUGGAAGUGUGUAAAAAUUGUUCAGCCGUGCUCUGCUGCCGCAUGGCCCCACUACAGAAAGCCAAGGUGGUACGCCUUUUCAAGACCUCCCCAGAAAAACCCAUCACUUUAGCCAUCGGAGAUGGAGCCAAUGAUGUCAGUAUGAUACAAGAAGCUCAUGUGGGCAUAGGUAUCAUGGGGAAGGAGGGUCGUCAGGCCGUGAGGAACAGUGACUAUGCAAUUGCCAGGUUUAGGUUUCUGGCUAAACUACUGCUGGUCCACGGUCACUUCUACUAUAUUCGAAUAGCUACGCUUGUACAGUACUUUUUCUACAAGAAUGUGUGUUUUAUCACGCCCCAGUUUUUAUACCAGUUCUUCUGUUUGUUUUCACAACAAACUCUGUAUGACAGUGUUUACCUGACACUGUACAACAUCUGCUUCACCUCGCUGCCCAUCCUGGUGUACAGUCUGUUUGAACAGCUGGUCCAUCCGCAUGUAUUGCAGAAUAAACCUGGCCUAUACAGAGACAUCAGCAGGAACUCUCUACUGUCUUUUCGGACUUUCUUGUACUGGACUCUGUUAGGCUUCUGUCAUGCCUUUAUCUUCUUUUUUGGAUCCUACAUAUUGAUGGGAGAGGAUACAACACUCAUGGGCAAUGGACAGAUGUUUGGGAACUGGACAUUUGGAACGCUUGUCUUUACUGUUAUGGUCAUCACUGUCACCUUAAAGCUUGCAUUAGAGACGCAUUUUUGGACGUGGAUGAACCAUUUUGUGACAUGGGGCUCAAUUGCCUUCUAUUUCAUCUUCUCUCUCUUCUAUGGAGGCAUUAUCUGGCCAUUUCUGCACACCCAGGACAUGUACUUCGUCUUUGUGCAGCUGCUGUCCAGUGGUUCGGCCUGGUUUGCCAUCAUCAUCAUUGUCAUCACUUGUCUCUUUCCUGAUGUGGUGAAGAAAGUCUUAUACAGACAUCUGCAGCCCACCAGCACGCAGAAGAGUCAGAUGGAAGAGGGUGAGAGGUCAGUCGGCCCAGAAUAUGACCCUGUUAAAGCCCAGCGGAGCCCAGGGGAGGACAAUUGGCACCUGCUAGCUGCUUAUCCUCCCCCUGCUGCCCCCGGCCCAGACCCAUGCUCCCCUAGUCUCUACCAGCCUCCCAGGCGCAGGCCCUCAGCUGUGUGGAGUCCAUGUGCUGCUACCAGCAUGGGCAGAGCGGCUGUUCCCGCCUGGCCCGCCUCCUGGAGCAAAUGACCGGACAGUGCAAGGCCAGCGCUAACAAUUGCCAAGCAUCCAGCCGCAACAACAGGGCUUGGAGCGACACAGAGAACCUCUACACCAACGAUCGCAGCAUCCUGACGCUGUCACCCAUCGAGGCCACCCACUGCUGACUCCCAGGGCCACUGACUUAACACACACAGCCGAGAGCGAGCAAGCUACUACUCUGCCAUGAGUCAUAGUCACACCCCCAACCCCCCUUUGCCACCAUUUUAUAAACCCACUUCUCUUUAAGCUAGGUGCAUUCUCAGCUGGAUGGAGUGACAAAUAAGAUAAGGAGCUAAAGGACUCAGCUCAGUGCUGCAGGCGACUUUUAUCUGCCACCUUUUAGUGUCCCGGAGUGAAUCGAUUCUUAUUAAAGCUGAGAACAACAUCAGAUGGGAGCAACGUUAAAGGAAAUGUAAGGAGUCACAUUUCUGGAGAUACAGAAGAGCCAAUCGUUACAUGAAUCGAAUUCCUGCUCCCUGCACGGUGGCUACAUUUAGAAUAUCUUCAGUGGUCCAAGUUUAUCUGUGACCUCUCAUGGAGCUCUUUACUUUUCUUUUCAGAUCAGUUGUCAGACAUUUUUAAGCAGACAGAAUAAAGAUUCCAGACUGCCCAUCCUCUCAUCUACAAAUGUUCACUCAUGUCAGUCGUCAGUCUUGCUCAAACCGUAGGACUGGAUGUGAAAUCGAGGUCAUUAUUUAGCACCGGAAGCUCAGAAAAGUUAGACAAGAACAUGUCAUUGUUUCUAGAAACUGACACAUAAACUUCCAGCACAGACGUCUCCGAGCCAUCUGCUCCACUGCUGCAUCUUCUUUUCAUCCAGACUGAAAGGGAGAAACACCUGGAACCCCUGAUAAGCCUUUAGGAUCCAGAUGUUUUUCUGAGACCUCCAGCCUCUGACCAUCAUCUCUGCUGUGGUACCAAAGACCAGAAGAUCUGAACUGGAGUUUAUUAGGAAAAAAAGUGUUUAUUUUUGUGCCUGAUUGUACAGAAGCUUAUAUUCUUAAGAAGAAUUUGUUUGUGCUGCUCUCUCGUCUGACUUGUUCAGGGCUCCGUCUCUUCGGUGCAUCUCUCUGAACAAGGCCUGAUGUUUCAAAAGCCAUAUGUUUUAAAGAAGUUAUAUUAAUAAUAGUUUAGUAAGGGUACUGUGGAUAGAAGCUGUUUAACCUGUUAUUUUGUACUUUUUCCCUUUUUCCCUACUUUUUUACUUUGAAUGCCUUUUCUUCAUCAGCCCGAUGACCCGAAGCACCUCAGCAUUACAGACCACGAUUAACGGGGAUUAUCUUACAGCAUGCAGGGCUGAAAAGUUGAUAUAUUUAAAUGAAAACUUCUGCAUAUAAAACUGGAGGUAAAAAUGAUCGCAGAGUAUAUCUCAGUGGGACAGAAAUGUCUGUAAUGGUGAGCAGCUUUGUGAUAUCGUGGCUGGUGUGUAAACCCAGACAGCAGAAUGUUUAUAUUUUUACACACAAAUAUAUUUCACUUUGAGCAGAGAGGAAAAGCAGAGUGUUUGCACAAGUCACAGCAAAAUCAUUUUUCCUGGUUCUUUUUUUUUUUUUUU